rnacentral:rRNA from 1 species
UACAGAGGGUGCAAGCGUUAAUCGGAAUUACUGGGCGUAAAGCGCACGUAGGCGGUUUUUUAAGUCAGAUGUGAAAGCCCCGGGCUCAACCUGGGAAUUGCAUUUGAAACUGGAAAAUUAGAGUGUGUGAGAGGGGGGUAGAAUUCCAAGUGUAGCGGUGAAAUGCGUAGAUAUGUGGAGGAACACCGAUGGCGAAGGCAGCCCCCUGGGUCGACACUGACGCUCAGGCACGAAAGCGUGGGGAGCAAACAGGAUUAGAAACCCUAGUAGU